GACUGCCGGUGACAACCGGAGGAAGGUGGGGAUGACGUCAAGUCCUCAUCGGCCCUUAUGGGUAGGCUUCACACGUCAUACAAUGGUCGGUACAGGAGGGUUGCCAACCGCGAGGGGGAGCUAAUCCCACAAAGCCGAUCGUAGUCCGGAUCGCAGUCUGCAACUCGACUGCGUGAAGUCGGAAUCGCUAGUAAUCGUGGAUCAGCAUGUCACGGUGAAUACGUUCCCGGGUCUU
rnacentral:rRNA from 1 species